rnacentral:lncRNA from 1 species
GCAUGUAUUCUAGAUGUGGAUUGACCUACUUAGGGGCUAUCAAACGCUACGCCGUAACAGGGUAGUUAUAAAGGUAGCUUUCGGGUUUGUCAAGAAGCAUGCUAUGAGACAUGGUCAAUCAAGAUGGGAUUUGCCCCUCUCUGAUUGAGAGUGAUAUCUCUGGGCCCCUCGAGUGAUCGGAUCGGAAAAUGCAUGGCCAUGCUACGUACGGUUAAGAGUUAACCUACAAAGGGAUUCCGAAUCACAGGAUCGAGAAAGAGCGGUCGGCUUGAAGCUAGACCAAAUAUCGUGAGGCAAAGGGAAUAGCAUGUAUAUUAUGUUGUGAUGGUUCGUCUGAUAUGAUCUUCGUAUGCGUAUAGGAGUUGGCACGUCUUGCUAGAGGCCGCUACCGACUAUUGGGCCGAGUAGGAGUACUCGGGCCAUGUCUAUACGUAUCCGAACCCAUAGGGUCACACACUUAAGGGGCUGGAAGCCCAAUUCGGAUCUGAUCCGAGUUGGAUUAGGUUUAGGAGUACUAAUGGGCCUCGGAUCCAGAGGCCCAUCAGGAACCCCUAUAAAUAGAGGGGUGGGGGCGCCCUAGGGUUUCACACCUUUUGGCUGAACACACUUGCCGCGCCUCUCACGCCCUCGCCUGUUGCAACUCGCGGAUCUAGCAAUCCGGCUUGCGACGCUUCCUCCCUGCACGUGUGGAUACCUUGGAGGUGUUGCGCCUGCAGCACUUGGACGAGCCAUCGACGAGCCGCCAACGAGCCACGACGAGCCGACGACGAGCCGCGGCACCGGAGGCGAUCUUGCUGUGCACGUGGACGAGCUGCUGAGGAGCUGCUGGACGUGAUCGACUACGUACGACUACGUUGUUCGACUACGUACGACUACGUGAUCGUCUUCACUGCACCGACGCAUAUCUACAUCUUCCGCACCAGUAGUGCGUCGAGUGGUAAUCCCGUGAUCCUUAUACGGCAGUUCUUCCUGGUUAUACGCGGUAGAAAUUUUGAUUUACGCUAGCGUAGCCUACCUCGUAUCCCAACAGUGGUAUCAGAGCCGUAGCUGCUUAGUUUUGGAUUCGAGAUGUGUGCAUAUGGAGAUAUGCGAGUUCUCUGUUUGAUCUAUGUCCUGAUUUCGUGCCCUUGCUGCAAUGGUAGUGUAACGACAUACUCCUACCGGUCGGUUUCCGCCAUCGGAGUUAAGUGAUACACGUAAAUCCAGUUGCAGUGAGGGAAGAUCAAUAUGAUUGGUCAAAUCGAGAUCCAGGGUCAUACGCCAGGCGCAUUAGAUGUGCAAUAGUAGAUGUGAUCUACUGCCGGGGUCCGGAUUUUGCCGUAUGCGCAUGCUUCGGUAAAUCAGCCGUAACUUUUCGGUACGAUCUCGGAUCGGGGCGAUUUCUAUACGAAAAUUGAUCUACAGAAAAAGUUACACAUGAAUUUCAACCGCUUCGCCGUUUUCGGCGAAAUUAGAUUCCCCAAAUUCGGCUUGGAAGAUGGAGUUUCGGGCCUCCGAAGUUUGGAACGUUAGGACGCCUAACUCUCUUUUGCAGGAUGUAUGUAUGUAUCUUGUGAUCAGUAUGGCCCCUUGUGUAUGUGAUGCAUGUGUGUAACUCAUUCGUGACCUGCGUGUCGCGCGUACGGCAACACGGCAGGAGCCAUAUGUGUUGUCACCUUAUUGUAUUUAAUGGUCUGCGUACCAAUCUGUGAUGAUCCAAGCAACUAUGUAAUCUUCAUUACUAGAUUCUUUACUAGCUAUUAGGCGUAAUAGCAUAGUUCUUGGAGGACUCAUCACCAGGAGGAUGGCGCACAUGGAACAUGGAGAUGGAGAUCACCAUGGUGAACAGGUUCUAUGGAGAUGGAGAUCACCAUAUGAAAAACGGGCCAUACUGUGUCACAACUGUGUGAAUGCUAUUCUGUUUAUGUUUUACUUUCUGCAUGCUGUGAUGUUAGAAGUAGAACGAUCCCUCACAAAGUUUAAGUUAGUAUGCCCUCCCAACUAAAACUUGCACCAUCCCAUGUCUUGUACAAUUAGUGGUGGGUCUAUGAAAUUAGGGUGCCACUAGUUUUCCUUGACUAGACGGGUUUGUGUCGGACACUUACACGCAUAAGGGUUGGUUAGCUUAACAAGGUUAUCUUAACGGUUAAGAACCUUGGGGCAUAAAGGUUGGGCGCCGAGACAUAGAGAUGUCACCCAACAACAGGAGUCAUAUGUGAUAUGAUUAGCAAAAGUUGCUUACCGAUCUACCUCGUUUGCUAGCGGUGAUGCUAAAGCUCACUAGUAGACUUCUUAGUUGUGGAUCCUGAAUCACUAAGUUUCAAUAGAGGGAUAUUGAUUUUAGUGGGAGUAGAUUCUGUUAAAAUAGUUUAAUGUAAUUUGCUCUAUCAUGGAUACGUUUGUCUUAGUGUAUUUUGCAUUACUUUUGUUGUAGAUUAAAUGGCACCUAGCAACACCACCACAUCGUUUGCUUUGCGUUCGGUCCUUGAGAAGGACAAGUUGAAUGGAACAAACUACUCGGAUUGGAUCCGCAACCUGAGAAUUGUUCUCAGGGCUGAGAAAAAGGAAGAUGUUCUAGACAACCCACUACCAGAAGAACCUGCUGAGGAUGCACCCGCUGCUGCUAAGAAUGCUUACAAGAAAGCAUGUGAUGCUAACCUCGAAGUAAGCUGCCUUAUGCUUGCUUGCAUGGAACCCGAGCUGCAGAUGCAGUUCGAAACAAACCAUGAGGCGCACGAUAUGAUCGUGGCGCUUAGAGACAUGUUCCAAACACAGGCUAGGACUGAAAGGUUCAAUGUGUCUAAGGCCUUUGUUGAGAGCAAGCUAGCAGAAGGCGCAGCCGUAGGACCACACGUAAUCAAGAUGGUUGGUUACACUCAACGGUUGGAGAAGCUAGGCUUCCCACUGGGCCAAGAGUUGGCCACUGAUUUCAUUCUUUCAUCUCUUCCGGCUAGCUAUGGGAACUUCAUCUCGAACUACCAUAUGCAUGGGACGGAGAAGGGUCUGAAUGAGCUGUGUGGUAUGCUCAAGACAGCAGAGGCUGACAUUAAGAAAAGCGCUAGUACCAGCCAUGUGAUGGCGAUACAGAACAAGCCCAGCUUUAAGAAGAAGGGCAAUUCUUGGAAGAAGAAGGGCAAGGCUGGAACGUCCAAGCCAAACCCACCGCCCAAGGUUAAAGCUGGACCUGGACCUGCUCCAGAUAAAGAGUGCUUUUACUGUCAUGAACUUGGUCACUGGAAGAGAAACUGCAAGCAGUACCUAGCUUCCUUGAAGAACGGCGGAAGUAAGAGUACUUCUACCUCAGGUACGCUUGUUGUUUAUGUUAUAGACAACAUAUUUCUCGCUGAUACAGUUAUUAAUUCUUGGGUAUUUGAUACCGGAUCGGUUGCUCAUAUUUGCAAUUCGAUGCAGGGAAUGAUAAGAAGUAGAAGCGUGGAAAGAGGAGAAGUUGAUUUCCGCGUGGGCAAUAAUGCAAGAGUUGCUGCUUUGACCGUCGGGACGAUGCAACUCCACCUCCCGUCAGGAUUUAUUAUGGAGUUGAAUAAUUGUUAUUUUGUUCCUAGUUUAAGUCGAAACAUUUUAUCUCCUUCAUGUUUGAUGAAGGAUGGUUAUUCAUUUGCGAGUGAAAACAAUGGUUGUGUGAUCUCUAAGAAUAAUAUGUUUAUGGCUUUUGCACCCAUUGUGAAUGGAUUAUUUGUUUUAAAUCUUGAUGGUUCACCUGUCUGUAAUGUAAGUGCUAAAAGGCCUCGGCCUAAUGAUUUGAGUCCUACCUACUUGUGGCAUUGUCGUUUGGGUCAUAUAAGUGAUAAGCGCAUGAAGAAGCUCCAUUCUGAUGGACUUCUAACUUCGUUUGAUUUUGAAUCAUACGAGACAUGUGAGGCUUGCUUGCUAGGCAAGAUGACCAAGACGCCUUUCACAGGAUUUCCUGAGAGAGCAGUAGACUUGUUGGAACUCGUACAUAGUGAUGUAUGCGGACCAAUGAGCACGACGGCUAGAGGAGGAUUCCAAUACUUCAUAACUUUCACUGAUGAUUUUAGUAGAUAUGGCUAUGUCUACUUGAUGAGGCACAAGUCUGAAACCUUUGAAAAGUUCAAGGAAUUUCAGAAUGAAGUUGAAAAUCAGCGUGGCAAGAAAAUUAAGGCCUUACGAUCUGAUCGUGGAGGCGAGUAUUUGAGCCACGAGUUUAGCAAUCAUCUAAAGAGUUGCGGAAUUGUUCCACAACUUACGCCGCCUGGAACACCUCAGAGAAAUGGUGUGUCCGAGCGACGUAAUCGAACUUUGUUAGACAUGGUUCGAUCAAUGAUGAGCCAGUCGGACCUACCGUUGUCAUUUUGGGGAUACGCUCUAGAAACAGCAGCUUUCACACUUAAUAGGGUACCAUCUAAAUCCGUAGUUAAGACACCAUAUGAGAUGUGGACUGGAAAGGUUUCUAGUUUGUCUUUUCUAAAGAUUUGGGGAUGUGAAGUGUUUGUCAAGCGACUUCAGUCGGACAAGAUCACACCCAAGUCGGAUAAGUGCAUUUUUGUGGGAUAUCCAAAGGAAACUUUGGGAUAUUUUUUCUACAACCGAUCAGAAGGCAAAGUGUUUGUCGCUCGGAACGGGGUUUUCCUAGAGAAAGAGUUUCUCAAAGGAGAAAAGAGUGGAAAGACAGUGCAUCUUGAAGAAGUUCAAGAUGAGCCAAUCGGGCAAGAAUCAAUGAGUGAUGCUAAGGUAGCAGAACAAGUUGAGAUACCCAUGGCAAGAGAAGCACCGCCACAACCACGAAGGUCGGCAAGGCUCCGCGAAAUGCGGGAAAUAUUAUUGUUGGACAAUGAUGAGCCUGCGACAUAUGCAGAAGCAAUGAUGGACCCAGACUCCGAAAAAUGGCAGAGUGCCAUGCAAUCCGAAAUAGAGUCCAUGGGAGACAAUCAAGUUUGGAACUUGGUUGACCCGCCUGAUGGUGUUAAAGCCAUAGAGUGCAAGUGGAUCUAUAAGAAGAAAAAGGACAUGGAUGGAAAUGUUCACAUCUAUAAAGCACGACUUGUCGCAAAAGGUUUUCGACAAGUUCAAGGAGUUGACUACGACGAGACCUUCUCGCCCGUAGUGAUGCUUAAGUCCAUUCGGAUUAUUCUAGCUAUAGCUGCAUAUUUCGAUUAUGAGAUAUGGCAGAUGGAUGUCAAGACAGCUUUCCUGAAUGGAAACCUAGCUGAGGACGUGUAUAUGAUACAGCCCGAGGGUUUUGUCGAUCCGAAAAAUGCUGGAAAGGUAUGCAAGCUUCAGAGAUCCAUUUAUGGAUUGAAGCAAGCAUCUAGGAGUUGGAACAUUCGUUUUGAUGAAGUAGUCAAAGGGUUUGACUUCACCAAGAACGAAGAAGAGUCUUGUGUUUACAAGAAGGUUAGUGGGAGCUCUGUAGUAUUUCUAAUCUUAUAUGUGGAUGACAUAUUACUGAUUGGAAAUAACAUUCCUAUGCUUGAGUCCGUAAAGACUUCAUUGAAAAAUAGUUUUUCGAUGAAGGACUUAGGGGAAGCGGCAUAUAUUCUGGGUAUUAAGAUCUAUAGAGAUAGAUCGAGAAGGCUUAUAGGUUUGAGCCAAGAUACUUAUAUUGACAAAGUGUUGAAGCGGUUCAGCAUGGAAGAGGCAAAGAAAGGGUUCUUGCCUAUGUCACAUGGCAUACAUCUCAGCAAGACUCAGUGUCCUUCGACUGCUGAUGAGCGGGAUCGCAUGAGUAGAGUACCAUAUGCCUCGGCUAUUGGAUCUAUCAUGUAUGCAAUGAUAAGUACUCGCCCAGAUGUUUCAUAUGCGCUAAGUAUGACAAGCAGACACCAAUCUGAUCCAGGUGAGAGUCACUGGACAGCGGUGAAAAACAUUCUUAAGUACUUGAGAAGGACUAAAGAUAUGUUCCUCGUCUAUGGAGGUCAGGAGGAGCUCGUUGUAACAGGUUACACCGAUGCUAGUUUCCAAACCGACAGAGACGAUUCAAAGUCACAAUCAGGAUUUGUGUUCACGCUAAAUGGUGGUGCUGUUAGUUGGAAGAGUUCCAAGCAGGAGACGGUGGCCGAUUCUACAACAGAAGCCGAGUACAUCGCGGCUUCGGAAGCCGCGAAGGAAGGUGUUUGGAUAAGGAAUUUCCUCAUUGAGCUUGGUGUGUUCCCGAAUGCGUCCAGCCCAUUGAAUCUCUACUGUGAUAAUAAUGGGGCAAUUGCGCAAGCAAAGGAGCCAAGGAACCACCAGAAGAACAAACACGUAAUGCGGCGAUUUCAUCUCAUUCGAGACUUCGUUAACCGGGGUGAGAUCAAGAUAUGCAAAAUACACACGGAUCUGAACAUUUCUGAUCCGUUGACAAAACCACUCCCGCAGGCUAAGCAUGAUGCGCAUGUAAGAGCUAUGGGUAUUAGGUACCUUCUAGAUUGACUCUAGUGCAAGUGGGAGACUGUUGGAGGUAUGCCCUAGAGGCAAUCAUAGAGAUGAUGAUAUUCCAUUUGUAUCCAUGAUUUGUAUAUUGUGUUCAUUGAAUAUCCAUUAAAGGCUACUUGAAUUGAUUUGCAAUUAUGUGAAUUGUAUGUGAAACUCUUUACUUGUAUGGUUAUUCUAAAGUUGUCCCUAGUCAGAGUUCAUGUGAGGACACACAUGAAUAUUAGACUAGCACAUGUAUUAGUUGAUGACUAUGUUUCACAAGUCAUGGACAUGGAGAUGUUGAACUAAAAAUGUGGACAUAUGUGGAGACAUGUGUUAGGACUGACCCAACACGAGAAGUAGUUCUCUCUUUAAACAACAUAUACGCUUUGUCCUUAGACCUGAGAUUGUCGCAUGUAUUCUAGAUGUGGAUUGACCUACUUAGGGGCUAUCAAACGCUACGCCGUAACAGGGUAGUUAUAAAGGUAGCUUUCGGGUUUGUCAAGAAGCAUGCUAUGAGACAUGGUCAAUCAAGAUGGGAUUUGCCCCUCUCUGAUUGAGAGUGAUAUCUCUGGGCCCCUCGAGUGAUCGGAUCGGAAAAUGCAUGGCCAUGCUACGUACGGUUAAGAGUUAACCUACAAAGGGAUUCCGAAUCACAGGAUCGAGAAAGAGCGGUCGGCUUGAAGCUAGACCAAAUAUCGUGAG